GGUGGAGGUCCGUGUGAUGAACCAAUGGGUGCGGAAGACCUACCUGGAGCUGUGGAUCUCCAGCGUCCAACUCGACCCCAUUUUCCCCUUUGCCUUCACCAAACUCGACGACAUCGUCUCGCCGCACGCCACCGAGGACCAUGUCCACGCCCAGGGAAAAUUACUGGAGUAGGUGCCGCGGAUGUUCUGUCGAUGGUGGAGGCGGACCUGAUGCAGAGCUCGUUGCGCGUCAUCGCCAAGGCCAAGAAGCUCUGCGGGCGCAGAAUAGCCGUCAUCGGAGGCUGAGGUAUCUGCGAGGUAUACUCUGUUCUCCACGCGGAAGCGACCCAAAGGCAACAUCGUCGGCGCAACGGCCUGGCCGGAGGCAGCGGUGGCCGGUGGUUAUGGGGGCUUGGCGGCGACCUGGAGGUGAACGAGCUCGGCGGCGACCGUGAUACCUCCAGCGUUCUUGCGUACCUAAGAGGAUUCAUACUGGCAUGUUGCCUUCCUCUUCAGGGAUGAUUCCUUCCUCUUCAAGGUGGAGAGAAGUUGAGGUCUGGAAGAACCAUGGUGAUCUGUUUUGCUGCCGAGCGAGGAAGAAAGUGUUGUGCUGGCGCGCGUGGACCUGGAGGUGCUGGCCGACGAUCUGUUGGGUGGAUGCUGGGUGCAUGGACCUAGGAGGAGCGGCUGUCUUCCGGGAAGUGCAGCUGGUCGAUCUGGAGCUGCCGGCGAGCUGGGUGGCGCAACCAGAUGGUCGGUGCAGGAGGAAGCGCAUGAGGAGGCAGUGCGUGCUUCGAUCUCUGGUGACUCCUAGCCCUGGCGUUCCUGGUGAAGCCCUUGACGAGGGGCGAUGAGCUACUGGCUAAGGGGACGGCGGCCGGCUUCCGGGACCGAUCGGAUCUGGGACUUGUUGAGCGGAGGAGAAGUAGCUGGAGGCCAGAGGUGGAGUCACUGGGCGGAG